GAUGAACGCUGGCGGCGUGCCUAAUACAUGCAAGUCGAGCGAACAGACGAGGCGCUUGCUCCUCUGACGUUAGCGGCGGGCGGGUGAGUCACACGUGGAUAACCUACCUAUCAGACUGGGAUAACUUCGGGACACCGGCGCUAAUACCGGAUAAUCUAUUGCACCGCAUGGUUCAAUAGUGAAAGACGGUUUUGCUGUCACUUCUAGCUGGAUCCGCGCCGCAUUAGCUAGUUGGUAAGGUAACGGCUUACCAAGGCAACGAUGCGUAGCCGACCGGAGAGAGGGAUCGGCCACACGGGAGGUGAGACACGGUCCUGACUCCUACGGUAGGCAGCAGUAGGGAAUCGUCGGCAAUGGGCGAAAGCCUGGCGGAGCAGCGCCACGCGAGUGAUGAAGGUCUUGGGAGCGUAAAACUCUGUUAUGAGGGAAAAACAAAUGUGGAAGUAACUAUGCAGGGCUUGACGGUACCGAAUCAGAAAGCCACGGCUAACUACGUG
rnacentral:rRNA from 1 species